AGGGUGACCGGCCACACUGGGACGGAGACACGGCCCAGACUGCUACGGGAGGCAGCAGUGGGGAAUCUUAGACAAUGGGGGCAACCCUGAUCUAGCCAUGCCGCGUGAGUGAUGAAGGCCUUAGGGUUGUAAAGCUCUUUCAGCUGGGAAGAUAAUGACGGUACCAGCAGAAGAAGCCCCGGCUAACUCCGUGCCAGCAGCCGCGGUAAUACGGAGGGGGCUAGCGUUGUUCGGAAUUACUGGGCGUAAAGCGCACGUAGGCGGACUGGAAAGUCAGAGGUGAAAUCCCAGGGCUCAACCUUGGAACUGCCUUUGAAACUAUCAGUCUGGAGUUCGAGAGAGGUGAGUGGAAUUCCGAGUGUAGAGGUGAAAUUCGUAGAUAUUCGGAGGAACACCAGUGGCGAAGGCGACUUUCUGGUCUGUAACUGACGCUGAGGCGCGAAAGCGUGGGGAGCAAACAGGAUUAGAUACCCUGGUAGU
rnacentral:rRNA from 1 species